CCUCCUUUCUAAGGAAACAUAAAAUCAUCAUCUUCAGUUUUGAAAGACUUAGUCAAGUUUUUCUGAUUUAUUUUGUUUUUUUGAUAUCCUGGGCCUAUAGCUCAGUUGGUUAGAGCACACGCCUGAUAAGCGUGAGGUCGGUGGUUCAAGUCCAUUUAGGCCCACCAAACGUCUUAAGCGUGUUAUCAAAAAAAGUUCUUUGAAAAGUAGAUAAACAAGAAAACAGCGACCUUUAUUAAAGGAA
rnacentral:misc_RNA from 1 species